CAAUAGCGUAUAUUAAAGUUGUUGCGGUUAAAAAGCUCGUAGUUGGAUUUCUGCCGAGGACGACCGGUCCGCCCUCCGGGUGAGUAUCUGGCUCGGCCUGGGCAUCUUCUUGGAGAACGUAGCUGCACUUGGCUGUGUGGUGCGGUAUUCAGGACUUUUACUUUGAGGAAAUUAGAGUGUUUCAAGCAGGCACACGCCUUGAAUACAUUAGCAUGGAAUAAUAAGAUAGGACCUCGGUUCUAUUUUGUUGGUUUCUAGAUCUGAGGUAAUGAUUAAUAGGGAUAGUUGGGGGCAUUCGUAUUUAACUGUCAGAGGUGAAAUUCCUGGAUUUGUUAAAGACGGACUACUGCGAAAGCAUUUGCCAAGGAUGUUUUCAUUGA
rnacentral:rRNA from 1 species